UAGCGGCGGACGGGUGAGUAACACGUGGGCAACCUGCCUGUAAGACUGGGAUAACUCCGGGAAACCGGGGCUAAUACCGGAUAAUAUCUAUUUAUACAUAUAAUUAGAUUGAAAGAUGGUUCUGCUAUCACUUACAGAUGGGCCCGCGGCGCAUUAGCUAGUUGGUGAGGUAACGGCUCACCAAGGCGACGAUGCGUAGCCGACCUGAGAGGGUGAUCGGCCACACUGGGACUGAGACACGGCCCAGACUCCUACGGGAGGCAGCAGUAGGGAAUCUUCCGCAAUGGACGAAAGUCUGACGGAGCAACGCCGCGUGAGUGAUGAAGGUUUUCGGAUCGUAAAACUCUGUUGUUAGGGAAGAACAAGUACCGGAGUAACUGCCGGUACCUUGACGGUACCUAACCAGAAAGCCACGGCUAACUACGUGCCAGCAGCCGCGGUAAUACGUAGGUGGCAAGCGUUGUCCGGAAUUAUUGGGCGUAAAGCGCGCGCAGGCGGUUCCUUAAGUCUGAUGUGAAAGCCCACGGCUCAACCGUGGAGGGUCAUUGGAAACUGGGGAACUUGAGUGCAGAAGAGGAAAGUGGAAUUCCAAGUGUAGCGGUGAAAUGCGUAGAG
rnacentral:rRNA from 1 species